rnacentral:lncRNA from 1 species
CAGUGAAGUACAUGCUGCACUGUAAUGUGUCUCCUGUUAUAGAACUGUCCUUCCCAAAGAGUACUCUGCCAUUGCAGUGAACUGGACUGAACAUCCUGAGAGAAACCUAGCAAGACUUUCUGCUGUGGAACACAGGAUUGAUACAUGCAACACUCAUCCCUCUCCUGCUACUCGAGGAAAUCCAAGGAUGUUAUCACGUUGCACAUCAUAUCCAUCCUUGGAUCUAUUCAAGAUGUGAGCAAUUUGGUCUGCUCCCAUUGCUGACCAACUUUCAG